UUCUUACUAACAUAAUAGUAAGUAACACCUGCCCAAUGAAAUUUUUAUGGCCGCGGAAAUUUAACCGUGCUAAGGUAGCAUAAUCAUUAGCCCCUUAAUUAGGGGCCAGCAUGAAAGGUUAUACCUCCCUCCCAUUUUAUUUUUUAAUAUAUUAGAAAUUAAAUUAAAAAUUAAAAUGUUUUUAUGAACUUAAAAGACGACAAGACCCUUUUGAACUUUACUAUUGUUUGGCUGGGGCAGCCAAACAAUAAUUAUCUUUAUCCUAAUAAUAUCAUAAAAGACCUUUUACCAUUAAUUAUAUGAACAAGUUACCAUAGGGAUAACAGCGUAAUAUUUUUCUAUAGCCCUUAUAUAAAAAAAUGUUUGCGACCUCGAUGUUGAAUUAGUCUAACUUUUUUAUGCAGUAAUUCUAAAAGUAGGUCUGUUCGACCUUUUAAAGGCUACAU
rnacentral:rRNA from 1 species